GAGGAGCCUGCGGCGGAUUAGCUAGUUGGUAGGGUAACGGCUUACCAAGGCGACGGUCCGUAACCGGCCUGAGAGGGCGGUCGGUCACACUGACACUGACAUACGGGUCAGACUCCUACGGGAGGCAGCAGUCGGGAAUUUUGGGCAAUGGGCGAAAGCCUGACCCAGCAACGCCGCGUGAAGGAUGAAAUCCCUCGGGAUGUAAACUUCGCAAGAAUGGGAAGAAUGAGCGAGCGCUAAUACCGUUCGUGAUGACGGUACCAUUUGUAAGCUCCGGCUAACUCCGUGCCAGCAGCCGCGGUAAUACGGGGGGAGCAAGCGUUGUUCGGAUUUACUGGGCGUAAAGGGCGCGUAGGCGGCCAGCGCAAGUCAGUUGUGAAAUCUCCGGGCUUAACUCGGAAAGGUCAACUGAUACUGCGCGGCUAGAGUGCGGAAGGGGCAACUGGAAUUCUCGGUGUAGCGGUGAAAUGCGUAGAUAUCGAGAGG
rnacentral:rRNA from 1 species